rnacentral:rRNA from 1 species
CCUACGGGGAGCAGCAGUGGGGAAUAUUGCACAAUGGGGGAAACCCUGAUGCAGCGACGCCGCGUGAGUGAAGAAGUAAUUCGUUAUGUAAAGCUCUAUCAGCAGGGAAGAAAAUGACGGUACCUGAGUAAGAAGCCCCGGCUAACUACGUGCCAGCAGCCGCGGUAAUACGUAGGGGGCAAGCGUUAUCCGGAUUUACUGGGUGUAAAGGGAGCGUAGACGGCGAUGCAAGUCUGAAGUGAAAGGCGGGGGCCCAACCCCUGGACUGCUUUGGAAACUGUAUGGCUGGAGUGCAGGAGAGGUAAGUGGAAUUCGUAGUGUAGCGGUGAAAUGCGUAGAUAUUAGGAGGAACACCAGUGGCGAAGGCAGCUUACUAAACUGCCACUGACAUUGAUGCUCGAAAGUGUGGGUAUCAAACAGGAUUAGAUACCCCUGUAGUC